rnacentral:rRNA from 1 species
GACGAACGCUNNCGGCGUNNUUAACACAUNNAAGUCGAACGAUGANNNCUAGCUUGCUAGGUGGAUUNNNNNNNAACGNGUGAGUAANNNGUGAGUAACCUNNNNUUAACUCUGGGAUAAGCCUGGNAAACUGGGUCUAAUACCGGAUACGACCAAUCUCCGCAUGGGGUGUUGGUNNNAAGCGUUAUGUAGUGGUUAUAGAUGGGCUCACGGCCUAUCAGCUUGUUGGUGAGGUAACGGCUCACCAAGGCGACGACGGGUAGCCGGCCUGAGAGGGUGACCGGCCACACUGGGACUGAGACACGGCCCAGACUCCUACGGGAGGCAGCAGUGGGGAAUAUUGCACAAUGGGCGCAAGCCUGAUGCAGCGACGCCGCGUGAGGGAUGACGGCCUUCGGGUUGUAAACCUCUGUUAGCAGGGAAGAAGAGAAAUUGACGGUACCUGCAGAGAAAGCGCCGGCUAACUACGUGCCAGCAGCCGCGGUAAUACGUAGGGCGCGAGCGUUGUCCGGAAUUAUUGGGCGUAAAGAGCUUGUAGGCGGUUUGUCGCGUCUGCUGUGAAAGGCCGGAGCUUAACUCCGUGUAUUGCAGUGGGUACGGGCAGACUAGAGUGCAGUAGGGGAGACUGGAAUUCCUGGUGUAGCGGUGGAAUGCGCAGAUAUCAGGAGGAACACCGAUGGCGAAGGCAGGUCUCUGGGCUGUAACUGACGCUGAGAAGCGAAAGCAUGGGGAGCGAACAGG